UGUUUCGAAAACAUAUUUUCUGCCUUUUCAUAUACAUAUUGCGUUAACAGGCCUAGCAAUCACCAAUAAUGGAGACUGUCUUCUAUUUCUGGGUGGGAUAUGCGUAUUAUGGGAUGCGGGAGAUACAGAUGACCCACCAAGAAUUACUCAGAACCCUGUGAUCAAUGGGAAUGUGGCCCUGAGUGAUGGACACAACAACGCGGAGGAGGACAUGGAGGAUGGGGAGUAACGGGGCAGUUGAAAGAAACCAUCAGUCACGGGCUGCACCACCAGAAGGACUGCUGUUCAGACCUCCUGCCAAAAGUUCAGCCUCCAUGAGAAACUGCAGCCGUAGUUGAGAGUUCUCUCACAGUGCGGUUUACCCCUGGCAGCUGGCUGAGGCAAUAUCUGAGGAAGACACCAGUUGGCGCUCCGAGGCAACCUUUCAGUUCACUGUGGAGCGCUUCAGCAGACUGAGUGAGUCGGUCCUUAGCCCUCCGUGUUUUGUGCGAAAUCUGCCAUGG
rnacentral:sRNA from 1 species